rnacentral:rRNA from 1 species
GAUGAACGCUGGCGGCGUGCCUAAUACAUGCAAGUCGGGCGAACGGACGAGAAGCUUGCUUCUCUGAUGUUAGCGGCGGACGGGUGAGUAACACGUGGAUAACCUACCUAUAAGACUGGGAUAACUUCGGGAAACCGUAGCUAAUACCGGAUAAUAUUUUGAACCGCAUGGUUCAAAAGUGAAAGACGGUCUUGCUGUCACUUAUAGAUGGAUCCGCGCUGCAUUAGCUAGUUGGUAAGGUAACGGCUUACCAAGGCAACGAUGCAUAGCCGACCUGAGAGGGUGAUCGGCCACACUGGAACUGAGACACGGUCCAGACUCCUACGGGAGGCAGCAGUAGGGAAUCUUCCGCAAUGGGCGAAAGCCUGACGGGGCAACGCCGCGUGAGUGAUGAAGGUCUUCGGAUCGUAAAACUCUGUUAUUAGGGAAGAACAUAUGUGUAAGUAACUGUGCACAUCUUGACGGUACCUAAUCAGAAAGCCACGGCUAACUACGUG